GUUCCUGAGUCAUGGGUGUUUUCUAUGUAUAUAAGUAUGUAUUUAUCUAUAUAAGCAUUAUUUAUAUAUAUCGUUGUCUAAGUACCCACAACACAAGAUUUAUUGAGCUUACCGUGGGAUUUAGUCAAUUUGUGUAAUAAUGUCCUAUAAUA